AGAAGGCAAGACCAGGGCAGGACCCUCCACUGCGGUGUGUAUGGUCUACCGAGGGAGGUAACCCCUCUGGGUAUUGACUGCCGAGUGAGAGGGCCUCGACUGGACUUCUCCCACACUAAGGUCAGGUUUUUCUUCACGUUUUCUCCCAUCUCUGUGAAACAGUUUUAGUGACUCUAUGAGCUAGCUACGUUGUUGGUGCCCUCUCAGUACGGUGAGACCCUGGUGGCGCAAAGUCACUGUGAAGCAGUGUGGAAGUGACUCAAGUUCAGUAGCUGGCAGUGAAAUUACUUCCGUGGCUUCUAAGCUCCCUUUCCAGCCCUUCCAAAUAUAAUGAGAAUGAAAGCUAAAAAGAAAGCCCCACCAACUCAGAAGCUCAAGUGUUUACAGGUAAGCCUGACUUUGAAGAAUGUUCUUAAUUAUUUGUUAGGAUUCGACAACAGGCAGUGUGGAAAAAGGUGCCCUAAUGUGCACUCAGAUUAUGCCUUGCAGUGAGUAGAAACCGAUGGGGAAGGUAAAGGUGGAGUUAUCAUAACUUUCACUAAGUGGAAGUUGCGAGACUGUGCUGUUCCUAAAAGAAAUGCCGCUUUCACAACAUGUAAGUCAAAAGCAGUAUGAAGAAAGCCUCUCCUCUUCCCUGCUGGCCUGCGUCUCGGCUGUGGAGAAAGAUUUGGAAUAGGUCCACCAGUGAGGAGAGACUAUCUUCCUCCCAGGCUGUACAAAACAGUGUCUGAGGUAUUGGGGAAAGCGUCCUUCUGUGAAAGGAAGAGAGCAGAGCGGGACCACGGCCCGUGCCACCCUGCGGUUCUACCAGCGUGACCAUGCAGAGACGGUGAGAGUAAAGGAAGAAAAAUUGAAGCUGCUGUUAAAGGCAUGGCUACCUGAGUUGGGAAUAAAA